AGAGAAGGGGGAGAGGGAGGCAGCGUUCUUCAGCUUCCGCCUUGGGCGCCAGGAGAAUGGAAGGAAGGAAGAAAGGAAGGAAUAGAGCAUGAGGAAGGAAAGGAAGGAAGUCCCUAUGUGCUUUCCACAGCUUCACCACAAAGAGAAAGACCACGAUGAAGAGAGCGAGAAGGAGCAUAGACACAAGGCCCGGGAAUAAAAAGAUGGCUUGUCCCUCCAUAAAGCCUUUCAGAGUUUCUCUCCAGUUAAAGCCACCCGUUGGUCCGUGAGUGAGUGGCAGGAUGGGUGGAUCGGUCAGUUGCCAAAGUCCGGUGUCUCCAAGCUCUUCGCAGCAGCAAAAGCCCAAGUAGCUCUCAACGGAUAACCACAGCCGGGAGGAGAAUUUCUGCAAGAGCUCCGAAGUUCAUCAAUGUGGGGAUUGGUUGUAAAAUUACUUUUUCAUCACCGUCAUAAGGCGAGUGAGUCACCAAAGGAGACAGUUGCUAAACGAGGACAACUAUCCAUGUAUUAUUAAUUUUUUCUAUGCAAACUUAGAUGGCCAUCUAUCUUAAACAAAGAAUGCUGGGCAAGUGGACAAGAUGUAAGAACAAAAACAAACUUCUAAAGACAAGAAAAAGGACAAUAAAAGAUAAAAGGUAGUAGGUAAAAACAAAUCAGCUCCUUGGUCAACCUAAAGCAGGGGUAGGCAACCUUGGCUCUUGGCCAUGCUGGCUCAGGAAUUCUGGGAGUUAAAGUCCACGAGUCAUAAAAGAGCCAAAGUUGCCUACUCCUGACCUAGAGCAAUACCAACUAACUACUACUAACAUCCUAGCCUCCAAAAUCUGAGCAAGAAACUGUUUUCGAAGGCCAUGUGAAGGGUUCAAAAACUUGCUCUUAUUUAAGUGCACACAGGAAUUCAACACCCUAGUGUAGAUUUUAUUAAUUCCCUGUCGAGUCAGGCUCUCCUCAAGUGUAGCUUCUGUGCACUAGGAAGAAUUUCUAUCCCGUUGCAGACAGCUAACAGAAAUAGAAAAGCAAAAAGUUUCUACUAUGAAAUAAAGAGAAGAAGAGCACUGCCCCUUGAAUAUUUAUCACAAAUUACUCAGAAGACCCAACAUUUCAGCUAUCGUUGUCUUAUAGUUUAUAAAGCAUAGCACAGAAGGCCAUGUAGAAGAUUUCAUUCUGCUGAUUGUCUAAAUUCAAGGUCCCUCUUUCUUUAAAUGCAGCCUUUCAAAUUCCGCCUGUGGUUUGCAUAAGCCUUGGAAAGUUUUUUUUUCCUAAACAAAAGUUCUCUUGUCUUUUUAUCUGAUCCUUGCAAGAAUACCUGAUAAACAUUAUGUUUGCUCUUUCCUUAGUCACCCUGUUCGGUCCUUCUGUUCCAAACAUUCCCAGCAUUUUUUUUUAAUUGCAAAAGAAAUAGCAUCCUGCUGGGAAACAGGUUUCCCACAAUGCAGAAAUUUGCCAACCAUGGAAAUGUGUGGUCCCAACAACUCAGAGGUGUGCCAGCGAUUUUAUUCUCACAAAUGUUUGUGAAAAUUAAAAGAGAGUCAGUUGGAAUAGUACUGAAGGUGCUGGCCCUGAAACUGGGAGAUUGUGAGUUCUAGUCCCACCUUUGGUGUAAAAGCCAGCUGGGUGACUUGGGGCCAAUCACCAGGAGACUGUGCAUUCU